GGGACAGAUUCAUGUCCCGGUAUCUGAGUUUAGCAGGUCUCGUGGGAUCGUUAUAUAGCAUUAGCUUUAUUGCUACACAUACUGUGCGCCCCCCCCUCUCCGUUUUCGUCCUUGCGCACCUGAAGGCUUGGACCUUGAAAUGAUCUGAGCUAACAAUAACUGAGGCGUCCCUCCGGCGGAUCCAGUCCAGCAUUUGCCAUCGGUUAGUCAGUGUCAACCUCCCGGACUUGGGCUGAGUGAGGCACCAUUCCGGAUCGGACGUGUCGCAUCAUCGCCCACUUUCAGCACGCAGCGGUUCGCGUUGUCAACUGACUGACAGUUCAGGGAGCGCAAUGGGUUUAUAAUUGUAACUUAAAGGCCAUUUCGUUGCUUAUGUUUUUACUGUGACCAUGAUUCAUGUAAAUAUUUCAGAGGCAUUCUCCGCUCUUGCAGCGCGCCCCCCCCCCCCGAGCAAUCUUCAUUCAAAGGACUGGGCGCCAUCUUGGAGUACGUUAUCCAGUUCCAGCUGCAUCCAUCCAGCACGAAGAAGUAUUUCUCCACCAGAAUCAUUAUUCCUUACAGCGUGGAGAUACCUAAUACUUUCUGAUACGGUUUUGGCUCCAUCCUUACCACAAUGGACACUGUGCUCAGCUGCUUUACCUUCGACGUUUCAUGCGGCACGCUCCUCAGCAACCUCCACCACUUAGGCAAAGCUGGCAGUGUUGUUAAACUCAGAUGCGCGUAUCGACAUUUUUAUCAACGCAGA